rnacentral:rRNA from 1 species
AACGAACGCUGGCGGCAGGCUUAACACAUGCAAGUCGAGCGCCCCGCAAGGGGAGCGGCAGACGGGUGAGUAACGCGUGGGAAUCUACCCAUCUCUACGGAAUAACUCAGGGAAACUUGUGCUAAUACCGUAUACGCCCUUCGGGGGAAAGAUUUAUCGGAGAUGGAUGAGCCCGCGUUGGAUUAGCUAGUUGGUGGGGU